CUCAACCGCAAGGAGGGGGAUGCCUAAGGCAGGGCUAGUGACUGGGGUGAAGUCGUAACAAGGUAGCCGUACCGGAAGGUGUGGCUGGAUCACCUCCUUAAAGGGAGACCUAAUUCAGGUAGGAGACGAAAAAAAGUAGUCCCUACCAAGAAUCAAUCCCAAAAGGUCGGAGCGAGGCGAAAUUGGCUUUCAAACUAGGUUCUGGGUUCACACAAGACCUGAAUCAGGAACAAGGGCUAUUAGCUCAGGUGGUUAGAGCGCACCCCUGAUAAGGGUGAGGUCCCUGGUUCGAGUCCAGGAUGGCCCACCUGCACAGGUGGCAAAAACAAAGAAAAAAGGCUCCGAAUCAGCACCUUAUCUUACUUAUAUAGUAAGAGAGAAUGCUGGCUCUGAGUACAGAGUCCAGAGGAACCUUGAAAACUGCAUAGAGCUAGGUGAAAAGGCCAAAAAAGAAGACCGUUAGGUCAAGCUAAUAAGGGCUAACGGUG
rnacentral:misc_RNA from 1 species